UCUCCGUUGGUGAACCAGCGGAGGGAUCAUUACCGAGUUAUUCUCCUCCCAAACCCCUGUGAACUUAUACCUUUACUGUUGCUUCGGCGGGUUAACGCCCCGGAAGGCCCGCGAGGGCCGCCGGAACCAGGCGCCCGCCGGGGGACCCAAACUCUUGUAUCUUUUUUAUAGCAUGUCUGAGUGGAAUCAUAAACAAAUGAAUCAAAACUUUCAACAACGGAUCUCUUGGUUCUG
rnacentral:misc_RNA from 1 species